rnacentral:lncRNA from 1 species
AAAGAAAACCCCUCUCAUUCAUAUUUCUACUAAGUAUUUUGGAACCCUUUGCUGACUCAUUUUGCAGUUUUGCUUGCAGCAAAUUCAAAAUUAAGUUACUAGAGAAUAAUGACCAUUAAGUGACUGAGAUUGCUUUAUUUCUCUGAGCCCUAGCAACAGUGAUUUCGCUCGCCUGUUGCCAUAACAACUACGGCAUGCACAUCAAGGUCACUAAGCCCACUUUGCUUCUUGCCUGUAGCUAUGUCUCUGAUGGCUUAUAUGCCUCAUUUUUAUUGUAGAUCCGUAUGCAACGAGUAGGAAGAAAGGGUACAUUUCAUCUUAUGAGUAAACACGCAUACGAUGAGCUUUUCUCAAGCAGAGAUUCUGGCCCAGCUCGCCUGGCAUCACUGAACAUCUUGCCAGAUAAGGCGGAUCAGUCAUCUCAUACUCCGGGAAAGUCCUUGGCACAUCCACCCCAGAGCCCUGGCGGACUCCAGGUCCCAUCAGACACACAAAAAAAAAUUAAAUAGCUGAAAGAGGCACAAAGGCUCAGUGCAAGUCUGAACUGAAAUCAUGGGAGCUUGCCCAGCUUGUGUUUGGUGAGAUGCAGCCUGUAAAGCUCCAGCUGACUACAGGUAUUAAAGACGUGGCGUUUAAUGCUUUUUGGCAGAAAAUAAGCUGAGAUGUAUCUCGGGGAAACAGUACAUUCAAUUGCUGCAGAUUCAGUUGCUUUCCACAAAGCAUCUCCUGUUAUUGCUUUAAUAACCAAAAAGGAAAUCCUGUUAAUCAUAAGUUGCGAGGUUGUAUGAGUUGACAGCUGUGAUAUCCCAGCUGUUGAUAGCUCUGCACGGGCACAGUGAGAUAGCAGAUAAUGCACGUCGUGAUCUUCAACAGGGAAUUGAGUCAGUUGCCUUAUUCUCAUCACACACACACACAAACACACACCCCCAAGAAUGUCACACAUCUUUCUUCUCCUGGUUAUUACACACAUAUCACUCCUACAGGCAGAUGCCAACAUACGAUUAAGGACAUACAGGUGUCGAGCAUGGAUUACCAUUUCUUAGUUUAACAAAGGGCUAUACCAAAAGAAAAUGAAGCAAACAACAAGUCAACCAGAAAGAAUAUAAAGCAAAUAACUGAAUUAAAUCCAUCUCUACUGGGGUGAACUCAACCUGAUUUUUGCCAUUGGGACACACAAAAAAACAGCACCAGCAACCUCAGUUGGCCUGCAACUUCAGUAACCUUUUCUUUUAGACAGUUUUUUAAAGCACAAAGUCCACACGUCAAUGAAAGCACCAGUAUGGCAAAAUUAGUCUGGUUUUGAGACCUGUUUGUAGGAAAAAAACCUUCCUGAAAUGGUGGCUAAUAGAAAGCUUUUAC